GUGCACAUAGCGCAGUGGUAGUGAAGCAGAUGUGCAAUCUGCAGGUCGGGAGUUCGACUCCCCGUUCUCA
rnacentral:tRNA from 1 species